UACGUAUGGUGCGAGCGUUAAUCGGAAUUACUGGGCGUAAAGCGUGCGCAGGCGGUGAUGUAAGACAGGUGUGAAAUCCCCGGGCUUAACCUGGGAACUGCAUUUGUGACUGCAUCGCUGGAGUGCGGCAGAGGGGGAUGGAAUUCCGCGUGUAGCAGUGAAAUGCGUAGAUAUGCGGAGGAACACCGAUGGCGAAGGCAAUCCCCUGGGCCUGCACUGACGCUCAUGCACGAAAGCGUGGGGAGCAAACAGG
rnacentral:rRNA from 1 species